rnacentral:tRNA from 1 species
AGCCUUAUAGUUAACAAAAUAAUAUUAAAUUGCAAAUUUAAAGGUAGAGAAAUCUUAAGGCUU